GUGGGGAAUAUUGGGCAAUGGGGGAAACCCUGACCCAGCAACGCCGCGUGAAGGAAGAAGGCUUUCGGGUUGUAAACUUCUUUUACCGAGGACGAAGAACGUGACGGUACUCGGAGAAAAAGCCACGGCUAACUACGUGCCAGCAGCCGCGGUAAUACGUAGGUGGCAAGCGUUGUCCGGAAUUACUGGGUGUAAAGGGCGUGUAGGCGGAGCAGCAAGUCAGAAGUGAAAUCUCCGGGCUUAACCCGGAAACUGCUUUUGAAACUGUUGCCCUUGAGUAUCGGAGAGGCAGGCGGAAUUCCUAGUGUAGCGGUGAAAUGCGUAGAUAUUAGGAGGAACACCAGUGGCGAAGGCGGCCUGCUGGACGACAACUGACGCUGAGGCGCGAAAGCGUGGGGAGCAAACAGG
rnacentral:rRNA from 1 species